rnacentral:rRNA from 1 species
AACCAGCUCUUCAAGUGGUCGGGAUAAUUAUUGGGCUUAAAGUGUCCGUAGCCGGUUUAGAAAGUUCCUGGUAAAAUCGGGUAGCUUAACUAUCCGUAUGCUAGGAAUACUACUAUACUAGAGGGCGGGAGAAGUCUGAGGUACUACAGGGGUAGGGGUGAAAUCUUAUAAUCCUUGUAGGACCACCAGUGGCGAAGGCGUCAGACUGGAACGCGCCUGACGGUGAGGGACGAAAGCCAGGGGAGCGAACCGGAUUAGAUACCCGGGUAGUCCUGGCCGUAAACGAUGCAUACUAGGUGAUGGUACGGCCAUGAGCCGUAUCAGUGCCGUAGGGAAACCGUUAAGUGUGCCGCCUGGGAAGUACGGUCGCAAGGCUAAAACUUAAAGGAAUUGGCGGGGGAGCACCACAAGGGGUGAAGCCUGCGGUUC